UGUUACAAUGGCAGGUACAGAGGGGUGCUACCGGGUGACCGGAUGCCGAUCUCGAAAACCUGUCCCAGUUCGGACUGGAGUCUGCAACCCGACUCCACGAAGUUGGAUUCGCUAGUAAUCGCGCAUCAGCCAUGGCGCGGUGAAUACGUUCCCGGGCCUUGUACACACCGCCCGUCAAGCCAUGGGAGCCGGGGGCGCCUGAAGUCCGGGACCGCGAGGACCGGCCUAAGGCGAAACUGGUGACUGGGGCUAAGUCGUAACAAGGUAAC
rnacentral:rRNA from 1 species